AACGAACGCUGGCGGCAUGCCUAACACAUGCAAGUCGAACGAGACCUUCGGGUCUAGUGGCGCACGGGUGCGUAACGCGUGGGAACCUGCCCUUAGGUUCGGAAUAACUCCCCGAAAGGGGUGCUAAUACCGGAUAAUGUCUUCGGACCAAAGCUUUAUCGCCUUUGGAUGGGCCCGCGUUGGAUUAGUUAGUUGUUAGGGUAAAAGCCUACCAAGGCGACGAUCCAUAGCUGGUCUGAGAGGAUGAUCAGCCACACUGGGACUGAGACACGGCCCAGACUCCUACGGGAGGCAGCGGUGGGGAAUAUUGGACAAUGGGCGAGAGCCUGAGCCAGCAAGGCCGCGUGGGUGAUGAAGGCCUUAGGGUUGUAAAGCUCUUUUACCCGGGAUGAUAAUGACAGUACCGGGAGAAUAAGCUCCGGCUAACUCCGUG
rnacentral:rRNA from 1 species